AUUGAACGCUGGCGGCAGGCCUAACACAUGCAAGUCGAACGAGUGGAGGACGGGUGAGUAAUGUCUGGGAAACUGCCCGAUGGAGGGGGAUAACUACGGGAAACGGUAGCUAAUACCGCAUACCUUCGGAUGUGCCCAGAUGGGAUUAGCUAGUAGGUGGGGUAACGGCUCACCUAGGCGACGAUCACUAUCUGGUCCGAGAGGAUGACCGACCACACUGGAACUGGGAACAGGUCCGGACUCCUACGGGAGGCAGCAGUGGGGAAUAUUGUACAAUGGGGGCAAGCCUUAUGCGGCCAUGCCGCGUGUAUGAAGAAGGCCUUCGGGUUGUAAAGUACUUUCAGCGAGGAGGCGUUAAUCGCAGAAGAAGCACCGGCUAACUCCGUGCCAGCAGCCGCGGUAAUAC
rnacentral:rRNA from 1 species